GUAAGUCAAGAAAAGACUCGAGUCCACUUGGCUGCUCCCGCGGUUGCGCGCAUCUCGGCCUCUGCCUCAGGACAGGUCCACAUUCCCAACAAUAGGGGAGAAAGCAGUGAAGCAAAGCGGAACGCGCGGAAGCGCCGACCAGCCUUACGGAGGCGGAGCCCCUCCAGGUUUGGAUUCGUCCAUACGGUUUCCAGGGCAGCACACAGAACGCCGGAAGAAGCUCACGAAGCUGACUGGCUGUACAGUUUCCGUUCCUGUUGGCGGGGACCCGGAAGUGGACGUGGUGGCAUAGUCUGGAUAACCAACGGCGGCGCAGAAGCAGGGGUCCCGGAGUCCUCACCAUUUAGAAAAGAGAAGGCUGUGAAUUACUUUCCUUUUUGGAGAUGGAGGAAACAGAUGAGACACUCUGAUCCCAAGUUGAUUGUGUAAACUAAAAAUAAAAGUUCCAAGCCCCCCUACCAACUGAGUGGACCCCUCCUCUGGGCCAAAGGCAUGCCAAAGUUAACCUGAAGAACUAACACAGGCCAUGAUGGGAAGAUGGGGUGGGACAGGCUUCGUUAUACCCUCCUCCCUUUGGAAUACAGGGCACAGCUGACCAGCAUUAACAUUAAACAAAGACCAUAAGACUGAGGAAACAGACUUUUUGCAGCAAUAAGAUACCAACAUGGCAGCAAGCCCCGAAAGACAUUGAAGUAUUUUAUCCAUAUAUGUAUAUAUGCACACACACAUAUACAUAUAUAUUCUUAAAUAAAAUAUAUAUACAUAUAUACUCAUAUAUAUAUUUUGAGACGGAGUCUCACUCCGUCACACAGGCUAGAGGGCGGUGGCGCAGUCUCGGCUCACUGCAACCUCCGCCUCCUGGGUUCAAGUGAUUCUCCUGCCUCAGCCUCCCAAGUAGCUGGGAUUACAGGCGUGUGCCACUACACUGACUAAUUUUUAGUAGAGACGGGGUUUCACCCUGUUGGCCAAGCUGGUCUUGAACUCCUGACCUCAGUUGAUCCACCCGCCUUGGUCUCCCAAAAUGCUGGGAUUACAGGAGUGAACCACUGUGCCCAGUCAAAUAUAUUUCUUUGACGUAUUUUGAAAUGGCUUUGCAGCGCUAUUUCUUCUCGGGGGGAAAUCGACAUUCUGUGACGAAUCCCCUUGUCUUUCCAGGUCUUUUCCCUGAUGCUGGAGAGAAUUAACUAAGAACCUGACACCUGUUUUAAGUCUGAUAAGAAACAUUUACGAUCUAUUCUCUCUGAAACCUGCUACAUAGAGGCUUCAUCUGCAUAACAAGAACCCUGGUCUCUGCAACCUUUUAUCUCAACCCAGACACUGCUUUCUGUUGGUUCCAGGUCUUUAUAUAAUAACUCUUUUAACCAAUUGCCAAUUGUAAGGUAUAUGGAUGUGCUUUGGUCAAGGAAUAGGCCAAGGUGGAUAUCCGGGCCAGAGCGACUCAGCGAGUUUAGGAUACAGGCGCGUAUUCCACUUGUUAUAUAACUUGUUUACGUAAGUUCAUAUUUGAAUCUGAGCCACUGUUACCUGUUGAAGGUAUAACUGCCCUACUGACACUGUGCACAGGGCUGAGUUCAGCACAGCGUGACCUGGUUCGUGCACUGGUGCCCAGAGUAAUGCUACUAACCCCUCUAAGGGAGAGCGGUUGCCCUUAAGGUGGGCAGAGGGGACCUGAGCCAGGAACCAGCUUUUGCCCAGACGGAGAGUUAAGCUGCUGACCCUGACAGACCUAGCUUUGCAGGCCAGGGAGUGCAGCUGCAGGCAUGGGGGCAACAGGAGCCACAUAGCCAGAGCAGACAGUCGAGAUAAAGCUGGACAGUGUGGGAGGGCUCGUGAGAUUAAGCUGCUGAUGAGAGAGCUGCUGAAUAAAACUACAUUUCACUUGCCUACACGCCCCCCACCCCCACUAGUGUUCUUUCAGCUAUUCACCCAUCCAUCCACUCCCCUUGGACCUCAGCUGGGGUUGGAACUUGACAAUUGGCGUAGUCGUGGCAUAACACCAAUCACCUAUUAAAUCCACCCUGAUGUAGAAGCUCUUUCCAGCUUUCCUGACCCAACCAUUACCUUAUGUUAUGUAUUGAUUGGUAUCUUAUUUCUCCGUAAAACAUGUGAAACCAAGCUGCAGCUCGGUCACAUUAGCUGUCAGGCCUCUGAGCCCGAGCUAAGCCAUCAUAUCCCCUGUGACCUGCACAUAUACAUCCAGCUAGGCUGAAGCAACUGAAGAUCCACAAAGGAAGUGAAAAUAGCCUUAACUGAUGACAUUCCACCAUUGUGAUUUGUUUCUGCCCCACCCUACCUGAUCAAUGUACUUUGUAAUCUCCCCCACCCUUAAGAAGGUUCUUUGUAAUUCUCCCCACACUUGAGAAUGUACUUUGUGAGAUCCACCUCCUGCCCGCAAAUAUUGCUCCUAACUCCACUGCCUAUCCCAAAACCUAUAAGAACUAAUGAUAAUCCCACCACCCUUUGCUGACUCUCUUUUCAGACUCAGCCGGCCUGCACCCAGGUGAAAUAAACAGCCUUGUUGCUCAC
ensembl:lncRNA